GUUCAAUUAGCUUAAUUUUUAAAGCGGGGAACUCUUAAUUCUCUGACGGCGGAGCAUAACUACCAUUGAGCA
rnacentral:tRNA from 1 species